CGAGUGGCGAACGGGUGAGUAACGCGUGAGGAACCUGCCUCAAAGAGGGGGACAACAGUUGGAAACGACUGCUAAUACCGCAUAAGCCCACGGUGCCGCAUGGCACAGAGGGAAAAGGAGCAAUCCGCUUUGAGAUGGCCUCGCGUCCGAUUAGCUAGUUGGUGAGGUAACGGCCCACCAAGGCAACGAUCGGUAGCCGGACUGAGAGGUUGAACGGCCACAUUGGGACUGAGACACGGCCCAGACUCCUACGGGAGGGCAUG
rnacentral:rRNA from 1 species